GGGCCGGUGGUGGAAUUGGUAGACACGCUAGACUUAGGAUCUAGUGCCGCGAGGUGUGAAGGUUCAAGUCCUUUCCGGCCUACCA
rnacentral:tRNA from 1 species